ensembl:lncRNA
GGGCCCGACUGAACGAUGUAAGGCUCCGAGCUGGCUCAUAUUUUUGGUUUAUGCUGGAAAGGAGGGAGCUGCAGUAGUCUAGUCGGGAGAAAAUGAGUAGAGGAAGAGCUUUUUCCAGGUCUGAGUGUGACAGCAUCGGUUUUAUUUUUAAAAUAGGAAACCUACAUGCACUUUAGAAUGAACAUUCUCUACAUUAUUAAUAAUAUAAAAAAUGUGUAAUGUUAGAUAAGAUGAGGUUCGUGUUGACAUGGUCCCGUAGAAAAGUAAGGUCAUAGUAAAAAUGAAAUGACUGAAUAAUUUGAACCCUGUAUUGGGUACUGCUGUGCCUCAUGUUCAUGGGAACUGGUUUUCAGCCAUCCUGAAAAAAAUGGUCUUUCUGUAUGUGGGGUACAGAGCACUACCGCGGAGCAUAGAGAUGCAUUUCGUUUUCAGGAUUGAGAAGGCCUUCUCCCUCAAGGAUGGUUAAGAUGGUGUAGAGAAGAUCAAGUGUGCCAUUUUAAACGUGUAUCCAGAGCCUUUCCAUUCUGAUGGGGAAAGAAAUGAUCUCGUACCAGAUCGUCCACUGAGGAAGUCUGAAUCUAUGUAUGGAUGCAUUCAUUUAUUUAUUUCCAUAUUUAUUUCAGCAUUUAUUUAUUUAAUCUUUGUUAUUAAUUUCCAGAUUCAUAUCAGCAUUCAUUUAUUUAAUCUUUGUUAUUUAUUUCCAUAUUUAUAUCAGCAUUCAUUUAGUCUUUUUUUUUAAAAUUUAUCCCAUCAUUCAUUUAUUUCUUUCUGUAUGCAUUCAUUCAUUUAUUUAUUUAUACUCAUUUUCUGUCCUACAUAGAAAACAGCAGUGGUGAAAGAAUGUCCGAGCGUGCACUCACAAAGUCAUGUUUGUCUCAAGAUUGACUUCUCCUCUGUCACUUUUCCUCUGAGGAGAAGACAGUCCUAAUCCACUGAGAGGGCAGGAUACAGCCUCUCUACAUACCAGAUACAUACCCAUUGCAGAGGCUAUUCAAAGUGAUAACGGAGAUUACCUUUCAUUCUGGCAGGCACGGACUCCCUUAACCAGGGGGCUGCAUAUAUUGGAGCAGACAGUCCCUCUCAUUGAGUAGACAGCUCCUACUUCCCUGCUGCCAUUUCCAAGACACACACUCGCCCAAACAUGAGCAGACAUAUACACCAAGGACACGCUCUUAAAAUGCAUAAGUACAACAGUCUUUGGUUACUUGCCUCUAACCAUUCUGGUUGAUGGUAAGUGCAGUGUUGACCGAGACAGGAAGAGCUGGCUCUGUGCACACUGGCCAUGCAGAUCAAUCCAGCCCGUCCAAACAGAUCUGAGAGAGUGCAGGGUAAGUCUUUUCCGCUGUGUUUGAUGAGACAGAUGGUUAGUAGUGCUGCCAGAUCAAUUACCAGCAGCACGCCAGCAGAGAGAACGGAGCACAGCACUUAUCUUCCAGGGCCAAUUGAACCGAUCCGUAUUUGAACUUUUACAUACUGUCACAACAUGCUGUGACAAAGGAAUCACUAACUUAAUGCCACAUGUGCCCCAGUUGCACCUUUGGGGAAAUGUUGCUAUUUUACCUUCCACAUUUCUUACUGCUCUUUUAAACAGCCAUCAUGGCAAUAGGACAAAGUAAACAGCUGUGCAUGUUGAGCAGUGGAGGAUAAAGUGUGUGCCAAAAGGAAAACAAAUAGUAAAGGCAUUUGCGAUAAAAAAAUGUUGGCCCCCGUCCAUCUGUUCAAGACCUGCAGAGUAUCUGGCUAAAGAGCUGGUUGAAAUCUGGAAACCAAUAAAUAGCAUUCACAUAUAAGAUCAGAAAUUGUGGAAUGGAUUAGAACAGGGGUGCCCACACUUUUCCGGCUCGCAAGCUACUUUUCAACUAACCAAGUCAUGGCAAUUAACCGG